rnacentral:rRNA from 1 species
GACGAACGCUGGCGGCGUGCUUAACACAUGCAAGUCGAACGGAAAGGCCCUGCUUUUGUGGGGUGCUCGAGUGGCGAACGGGUGAGUAACACGUGAGUAACCUGCCCUUGUCUUUGGGAUAACUUCAGGAAACUGGGGCUAAUACCGGAUAGGAGCUCCUGCUGCAUGGUGGGGGUUGGAAAGUUUCGGCGGUUGGGGAUGGACUCGCGGCUUAUGAGCUUGUUGGUAGGGUAGUGGCUUACCAAGGCUUGGACGGGUAGCCGGCCUGGGAGGGUGACCGGGCCCAGAGGGAUAGGGGAGCGGCCAGGCGGCCAUCGGGAGGAAUGGGGGGGAGAUUUUCGAAAAGGGGCGGAGGGAGUGAUGAACGGCCCCGGGUGGGGAAACUCGGCUUUCGGGUUAGAACCCCUUUGCGCGUGACAGGGAACAGGGUGACGGGAAAUGGUUAAAAAACCACCGGUAAAUAAGUG